rnacentral:misc_RNA from 1 species
UCCGGCUUGUCGCCGGCGGUCCCUUUAGAGUGCCCAACUGAAUGAUGGCAACUAAAGGCGAGGGUUGCGCUCGUUGCGGGACUUAACCCAACAUCUCACGACACAAGCUGACGACAGCCAUGCAGCACCUGUCUCCGCGCCCCUUGCGGGGACCGCCCAUCUCUGGGCGUAGCACGGGAUGUCAAGGCCUGGUAAGGUUCUGCGCGUUGCGUCGAAUUAAACCACAUGCUCCACCGCUUGUGCGGGCCCCCGUCAAUUCCUUUGAGUUUCAACCUUGCGGUCGUACUCCCCAGGCGGGGCACUUAAUGCGUUGGCUGCGGCACCGCGGGGGUCAAUACCCACAGCACCUAGCACUCAUCGUUUACGGCGUGGACUAC